ensembl:lncRNA
AGAGAAAGGUGGUCUCAGACAACAGACCAGAAUGGCACCUCGGGGGCUUGGCAGGGUGCAGGCAGGAUCCAGGGAACUACUGGCGUCUGGGAGGAGCCUCUCAGGUUUACACAAAGAGGACUCCCAGUAGGAACAUUUGAAGGUUUUCCUCCUGUGACUGUUGGAACCACCUGGGCGUGCGACUUGUUGUCUGGGUGCGGCUCAUGGAUCAGCAUCUAUUCAAAACCUCCAGGAGUGAGAACCACAGUCUUAGCAACCAGGCCAGGUCUUCUGACCAACUUCACCAACCUGAAGUCAUCGAAGCUCCACUGGGGUUUCUCAGGUCAUACGGACACUGUAGGUGAAGAUACAGGUUGGAUUCAGCUCCAAGAGGACAUGUAUGACAAACUCAAGGCAAGUAAGAGGAUGAGCAGAGGUGGGACCCACAAAGGGGAGUCAGCCACAGGCAUCUCAGGUCAGGCUCAUUCUGAUGGAAAAGUGUUAUCCCACUCAGGGUGACGGAACAAACAGCACCUGUUUAGCACCAGAUGACUUGGGCAGACCGGAAGUCACGGAUUUAUAUCCUUCCAUAGGAGAACUCCUGCGCAAAAUGCAGUGGAUUGUGCAGGAAGAGGAAAGGAAUGGGGCUUGAACACAGGGAGAAACUGAGACCCACUCGAUUUGGUGAGUAACACAAGCCCUGUCAGUGUCAGGAAAGGGGAAGGACCUAAGAGCUAGUGAAAUCUUCAGAAAUCACCUGAGUCUUACUGGAAGACCAGGGGAAGAGUGAGAAACUGACUCAGCUGGUGAUUGACCUGAAAUGAAAGCGGCUCUUAAACCAGCCUGCAUCAGAAUCAUCACCAUGUAAACUAGUUACAUAUUGUGGUGUAAUGGAUUAUUGCAAAACCGAGCAGCCUAAAACAAUAUGCAUUCAUUAUCUCACGUUCCUAUGGGUCAGGAAUCCAGUGCAGCUCAGUUGAGUGCCCCUAGCUCAAGUCUGCAGUCUCAUCUGAAGGCUCAUCUGAAGUCUCAUAAGUCUGCAGUCUCAUCUGAAGGCUCAGCAGGGCUGGGUAGGGAGCCGGCUUUCACGCUUUCUCCCCUGGCUGCCGGCAGCCUUGUUCCUUGUUGUGUGAGUCUCUCUCCAGAGGCUGCCUGAAUGUCCUUGCUACACAGCAGUUAGUGACCUGGUAAAUGGUCAGACGGCAUCCAGGAUGAACAGCAGUCUUUCUAGAACCAGGUUUGGAAGUGCACCUCAUCAUUUCUGCUGUGUUCUAUUCAUCAGAAAGUAGUCACUAAGUCCAGCCCAUUCUUGGGGGAGGGGACUGCACAAGGGCAUGAAUACCAGGACGUGGGGAUCACAGGGUCAAAGAAGGCUGCCUGCCAUACCUUCGUCAGCUAAAACAAAAAACAAACUUGAAAAUAAUUAAAGUUAGUUGUGUUCAGAAGUCUCACUGAGCAAUAGAGAGGUCUACAGCCUGAGAGCAGCCCUUUAGAGAAAUUCUAUUAGACUGCUCCAAAAUAGGGUUUCGCUCACAGCUUCAAUACAAGGUGUGGAGGUUCAGCACAUGCAGAAUCACAUCAGCCUUGCUCAGAAGUUACAUUAAAGCAGAAUCACAUGAAGGUUUGGGUGCAAGAAUCCACCCGGUUACAGACAACAGAAACACCAUCACUAAUCCCAGUGGGCAUUAUCUCAUGUGCAGGAAGAGGCAAGGACCAGGGACAUGUAUCAUUUUCUGUAUGCUUCAAAUUCUAUUUACAAGGGUGUACUUAAUUCUUAAAGGCCAUGAAUAGCCCAAAGAACAACAACAACAACAAAUCCUCCUGAUUCUGAAAAACAAAACAAAAAGAAUCAGCAAUAUUUCCAAAAAAAGCCAUAAAAUCACUUCAGGCCUCCGUUAGUUCGGUCCGUGCGAACAGUCUCUGCUCUGUUCCUGUUGGGUUAGGAACCCAAUCUUUGUGAACACACCAGCCUUUGAAUUAGAGUCCUGGAGGUUUUGUUUCUAGUCCAGUGGCAGGAUCUCCAAAGCUAUCAGAAGUGUGCAUGCAAGAGUCCUCUUCAUGAACUCCCCAAAGAAGCGAGCCCUGGGCAGCAGCUGAUUACAAGCCUGGGUCAUUUAUCUUUCAAGGAAUAUAGUGGCUCGGCCAGAGAUGUGGGGCCCCCGCACUCUCCUCUUUUGUCUGUAAGGCGUCCCUCCAGACAGCUGCAUGCACAUCAUCACAGAUUCAAGGGCUUUCUGAAAUUUCACUGCAAGCAGGCAUGAGCACACACUGCUUUUCACGUUUGCUACUUUGUCUCACACCUUGUGAACUUGCGAACACACACAUUCUUUAGCCAUCGCCCGGGGCUUUCUAAUUCAGCAGGCUGGGGUGGGGCCUAAGGAUUGUCUCCUCUCACAAAAUCUCUGGUGCUGCUGCUGCUGCUGGUGGGAUUCUCUACCUUUAAAAAAUACGCCCAAUCACAGUGAGAAACGGGCCACAGGCACUGCACUGUCACCCACACUAAGGCUGGGGUGUCUCAGUCACUGAGAGCCUCAGACUGAGUCAAGUAAGAAUUUGGGAAAACUGUUUGUAGACUUUAAGAAUUUUAUUGUGGGCUGUGAUUUCUUUAGACUUCAGUGUCUCAGGACUUCAGCUUGCAGGGGAGUUCAGCUUGCAUUUAGUUUUUCCCGGGAAUGAGAUGAUGGGAGUUGGGUGGAAAAUUUAUGGUCAAGUUUCGGGCGUUUCCACACUGGCUUGUGACUGGAGUAAACUGUGGUGUUGUUUAAGUUCAUUGAGGCUUGACUGGAACGCGUGGCUGGAAAUUAUCUGGGACUGGAAAGAGAAGCGGUAGUGAACAUUGGCUUUGGGUAACAUGUGGCUUUCGGAUGAAAAUGUUUUUUAAUAGCUUUACUGACACUUGAUUUUCACAAACCUCGCCCACUUACAGUAUACAAUUCAGUGACUCCAGGUAUACUCAACAUCGUGUAAAUAGAUCCACAAUCUGAUUUUAGAACAUUUUCAUGAUCCCCACAAAGGAGCCUCCUAUUAGCAGACUCUCCGCCUUCCAUCCCCCCAGCCCUGGGCAGCCACUAGUGGACCUUCUGUCUCUAUGCAUUUUUCUGCUCUGGGCAUUUCAUGUAAAUUGAACCGUAUUGUGUGAAUGCUGACUGGCCUCAGCAUGGCUUGCUGGCUUCCUUCACCUAGAACAUUUUCAAGGCUGCUCCGCAUUGUCGCGGGUCAUCAAGUCCUUCCUCACUGUACGCACAUACUAACACUACCUCUUGAUUAUCCAUUCGUCAGUUGAUGGACACUUGAGUUGCUUUCUACUUUUUCUGAUUUUAUGAAUAAGGAUGCUGUAAACUUCCAUGCACACAGUUUGGUGAACUUAAUGUUUUUAUUUGUAGCUGACCUAUAAAUAUGAGCAGAGUUGUUAGGUCAUACGGUAACUCUAGCCUUUUGAAAACUUGCGAAACUGUUUUCCAAACCAGCUGCAGGCACCGUUUUACAUUCCCACCAGCUACGUAUAAAGGUUCCAAUUUGUUAUUUUCUGUAUUUUGAGCACAUCCAUGUCGUGUGAAGUUGCUUCUUACUGUGCUUUUGAUUUGCCUUCCCCUAAUAUCUAAUGGUGCUAAGCAUCUUUUAUAUGUUUAUUGGCCAAUUACAUACCUUCUUUGGAAAAAUGUGUAUUCAAAUCCUUUGGAAUUUUUUAAUGGGGUUGUUUCUUUAACAACUUUGAGUUAUAUAAAGUUUGGUUCUUUUUUUAUUUUUAAUUUGGGCUUUAUUUUUAAUUUUUAUUUAUUUAUUUAUUUUUGAGGCUGAGUUUCACUUUUGUUACCCAGGCUGGAGUGCAAUGGCGUGAUCUUGGCUCACCGCAACCUCCGCCUUCUGGGUUCAAGCAAUUCUCCUGCCUCAGCCUCCAGAGUAGCUGGGAUUACAGGCACACGCUACCAUGCCCAGCUAAUUUUUGUAUUUUUAGUAGAGACGGGGUUUCACCAUGUUGACCAGGAUGGUCUCGAUCUCUUGACCUUGUGAUCCACCCACCUCGGCCUCCCAAAGUGCUGGGAUUAUAGGUGUGAGCCACUGCGCCCUGCCUGGGCUUUCUUUUUUAAAAGAAUUUUUAAUUGGGUUGGCUGUAUUGUUACUGAGUUGUAAGAGUUCUUUUUAUGUUCUGAAUGCAAGUUCUGCCUCAGAUAUGUAAUUUGCAAGAAUUUUUUCCUAUCAUGUGGGUUGUCUUUCCGUGUGUGUGUGUGUGUGUGUGUGUGUGUGUGUGUGUGUGUUUUAAUGGGACAAAUUUAAUUAGCGAGCUUUUCUGGCCUAUUUGAGGAUUUUCUGAGUUCAAAUCAAUUCUGUUUAUGAGAAGUCCCGGGGGAUCCCCAGGAAACUUGGUAUUGGGGAGGUGCUUCAGGAAGGUAGAAAAAGCACAUCCAAGUUGACUGCUCAUUUCAGUCCCAGGGCACAGCUACACCUCUGGCUGACUGGAGCUUAAUGACAACCCGAUUAUAUCACAAGAAAGGAAGUCACAGCGAAUUUCUCCUGUGAACGCGAGUCCAUCGCAGCAUCUUCAGAGGUGGCCUCCAUUUUCAGUCCUAGUGACAUCUGUUGUCCUCACAUUUGUAAGAGUGACCUGCUACUUCUAGGGUCCAGAGGGCAAGUCCUCCACUUUCUGCAAGGCAGUCCUCGAGGUGUUACUUCUGAAACAGUCAAGAAAUGCCAGCGACUUUGGGUCUGAGGACUUACUGAGUUGCUUCUUUCUAUCAGUGAGGACGGCUAGGAGCACAGUGCUGAAAAACCCAACUCAACCAGCCUGGUGGUUGAUUCACAUAACUGAGUUCAGAGCAAGGGCGGGCAUCAGGCUCUGCUUGGUGCAGGGACUCCAACCUUAUAACCCACCUGCUCAUUGCUGUCUGUCUCUUUUUCUGAGAAAUAGGAUCUUGCUCUUUUGCCCAGGAUGGAGCUCAGUAGUGAAAUCAUGGCUCCUUGUAGCCUGAAACUGCAGAGCUCAGGCGAUCCUCCCGUCCCAGCCUCCAGGACACCUGGAAGUGCAUCAGGCCUGGCUUCCUUGCUGCCGUCCCAGCCUCCAGGACACCUGGAAGUGCAUCAGGCCUGGCUUCCUUGC